GCAAGGGUUGGCAUUGCUGGCAAUCACUUCCGGGUUGUUCAGCCGGUAACCGUGGAAACAGGUGCAAAUAUAGGAGCCCACGGAGUUUGUGCAGUUGGAAUCAGGACCACAGAUCGUGGCGUCUUCGCUGCACUCGUCGAUAUCUGACAAGCAUAAAUUGCAC